GGAACAUAUAUGUCUGCAUAGAAUUGAAUGAGACCUUUGAGAUCAUUCUGUAUAAUCGUUUUAUUUCUACAGCUGGGGAAAUUGAAGACCAACAAGUUGUGAGUUGUCCAAGCUCAUACUACUAAUUAGUAUUCAGAAAACUCCUUAAAAUUCUGCUUGUUUUUGUCUUCCCUUGAUUGGUGAAGAAAAGAGGGAGUGACACUUUUCUCAGGGACUUUGUUACACUGUAGUUUGUCUAGGAUUUCCUCACCUUGAGGAGUAGGAGUAGUAAGAGGCAUGAUCUUGUAGUUUUGGUAUAGAUAUUUUUGAGAAUGUGAGUCACUUAUCACUCUGUGCUGGCCAGGAAGACUUCAAUGUGGAAAUUCUGGGACUCUGAACAUUGAUUUAAAUUCUCUCCACCAAUACAGGAUAAGGCAUUAGAAUCAAGAGUUUUUCUCCAAGUGGGAACUCCAAGUGGAGUUUUUCUCCAAGGCCGAUGAGAUAAGCCCUGGUCAUAAGUGAGAAAAAGCAGUUCAGAUCUGAGCUGGGUUGGCCAGACCAGAGAGAGAAAUGGGAGCAUUAUAAGAGGCUGAGCCUGGCUCUGGAGGUGAGAGUGUUGGGCUUUCUCUUUAGACACCCAAAUGAGAGAUGCCUUCUUUCCAGCUGGGAGCCUUGAAUGGCCUAAGGUGGCUUGCCAUCACUGGUCACAUCCAUUCUUGAGCUGCAGAUAUCUGAGCCUUGAGAGUCAUCAGCCCUGAUAGCAAAAGUAGGAAAAAGUCCAGCUAGAUCAUUGCACAUUUGCCAUCUUCUCCACUAGUGCCAGAAAAUUGCUCAUUUUAAUCUUUUUUACUCAAGAAAAAAAUAUCAAUAUAUUUUGAUAAAGGUAGUUGGGUUAAACAGGAUUUCAAUAGUCCUUCUUUAACCUCCAAUCUGUUUAGAAACCAUUCUUGAGCAGCAAUACUUCUUUGCCUGAAACUGAACUGCCCAUUCCAUUGGUUUUCUCGCCAAAAAGUUGAAGAAGAAUCUAUAAAAACUGAGAGUUUUUAAUUGCUAUUAUUUUAAUAGCUUUAGGGAGGUAUCGUUAACAUACAGCCAACUGCAAAUAUUUAAAGUAUACAACUUGAUUUGGUAAGUUUGGACAUAUGAAUCCACCUCUGAAACACCAAAGCUUCCUUGUAUUAAUACCUCUUUGAAAUGUCUUUCUACCAUUCCUGCCCCGUGGUCUCUAGGCAACCACAGAUUUGCUUUCUCUCACUCUAGAUUAGUUCACAUGUUCUAGAAUUUUACAUCAGUGGAAUCCUACAAUAUAAAUCUUUUUUGCUUGGCUUCUUUCACUCAGCAUAAUCAUUUUAAAAUUUAUUUGUGUUCAUCAGAUUUCAAAAUCAACUUAUCAAUUUCUACUAAAAAAAAACUAUUGAGAUUUUGAUUGAGAUUGAAUUAAAUCUAUAGAUGCAACUGGAAGAGACUGAUGCCUUAACGUUAUCAAGUCUUCCAAGCGAG
rnacentral:lncRNA from 1 species